AAGCUUACAAUAUGGGAAGACAACCCAUUUCUUCUUUACUUCUACCCCAAGGUACCGUAUCUCGAUCUUUCCAUCUUUUCGUAACCUCCAUUUUCGCCUCUCAAGCUAAAGAAUCACUUCGAUCACACAAGAAUUUAUUCAAGAACACAUAUUGAGGUUCGAGUGGCAGUGUAGAAUGAACAAGCAAAGACUUCUAUUUCAUUAAGCGUAUCAGGUUAAGCUGUGGUGCAGAUGGAAGCGAGCAGAACAAAUUCUUUGAUGUAUAUGUAUUAAACCAGGCUCAGGAUUCCAUAUAUGUCUUCAUACAUGUAAUCCACAUGAAUUAUUCCGCUGCAACACUUAGUCUAUUCUACUUUAUUGAUGUGUUGUACAUAUUUAAAAUCAAUAGCUUCGAGAAUUAUGUCACUUGAAAGUUAGACAACUUGUCGUUGUGUAUUGUAAGUUGUCUACUAAUGAGUUUUAAAAGUGAUUGCUUAUGAUUAUCCAAUAUUAAAGUAAUUCAUCGUUAAA